GGACUACACGGGUAUCUAAUCCUGUUUGCUCCCCACGCUUUCGCGCCUCAGCGUCAGUUAAUGUCCAGCAGGCCGCCUUCGCCACUGGUGUUCCUCCGUAUAUCUACGCAUUUCACCGCUACACACGGAAUUCCGCCUGCCUCUCCAUCACUCAAGAACUAUAGUUUCCAAUGCAGCCCCAAGGUUGAGCCUUGGUAUUUCACAUCAGACUUACAGUCCCGCCUACGCGCCCUUUACACCCAGUAAAUCCGGACAACGCUCGCUCCCUACGUAUUACCGCGGCUGCUGGCAC
rnacentral:rRNA from 1 species